UUUGAAAGAAUUUUUGAGCUUUUGCCUAAUUGUAAACAAUUUUAAAAUACUUAGGUGAAUCUAAGGCAACAUUAUAAUUACACUUCAUGGGAAUAUUUACUCACAAAUUCACAUAUCGUCUACUCAGUUAUUAAAAACUCAUGGAACAAAUGGAAACACAAAUGACCCCAAAUGGGAUAGAGCCUUCACAAAGGAUUUGCUUGGCUUAUUCUAGCGACUCUAGUACCAUUUCCUCAAAGUUGGCAUCAUCUCUCACGUUUGUUUUGAUUUGUUGGGAAAUCACCGAGGAUUCAUCAAUAUUGAGCUCAUUUGGAAGAAUCAGCAUACCCAUGGUAUUUGAAAAGUUAGCCACCAUACCCACAUCUUCUAUCCUUUUGAUUUCCGUUCUACAUGCCUCCAUGUCUUUAUGAAUAAGUUGUAUGCUAUACCCUGUUGUUUCUAUUAGAUCCAAGAUAAAUUAAAGUAUUUUUUCAAUCCCAUUGUCUUUGGCACAUUUUUCUUCCUUUUUCUCAUCAUAAGACCUAUCAAAAUAAUAAGAUGAACUAGAAAUUGGUUUAGUAUAAUGGGGGAAGGGAAAUUGGGACAAUUGUUCCAAUGGCCAUCUUGACCACCACAUAAAUAACAAUCGUACUACUAAUAGGAUAGAGAUAGUGCGCACAUCUCUUUCCAUGGAGCAUAUCUACAGUCUUGCCAAAAGUGUGAUCCACCACAAUUUGGACAUGGAUCAUCAAGAUAAGAUCUCAAACCACCAAAAUCAUAUUUAUUCAAAGAUUCCAUAGUGACAAAUAAUCAAAAAUAAAAAUCUAUCUAACACAAUAAACAAAAGAAAAUCACAAAAACAUAUUUACAAGUUUGAAUCCAAUCAAGUAGGCUAAAAUUUCAAACUAACUCAAUGUGGCAAAUUGCUCCACGGUAAUGACGCUGCUUUUUAUAUGCUCAACUUACAUGGUAAUUUAAGUGAAAGGAAGUCAUUAUAAAGAUAAUAACUUAACUUUGAGUCAGGGUCAAAUCCAUGAGAAAUAAUGUGAGAGGUGAUCAAACAUUUUCGAAAUUAAAGUUACUUCUUAAGAUCAAACCUAAGAUAUAAUUAUUUAUAACAUUGAGGGGGGUUUGGGUAAGUAUAAAAUCUAAUGUUUAUUUUUGGGCUUCUAAGCUACUAAUUCAAGACUAAAAGUAAUUAGAGUAUAAUAAAUUAAGCACGAAUCCUGGGAUUAUGCUUUCUUAGGGGCUAGUUAUACAUGGGAACACGAUGAUUCGGUGCAAAUUCUAAUCGUUGAUGAUGUUGAAGGCUAGGUCUAAAGUCCUUGAGGCUAGUUCUUAAACAAAACCUCAAAAAUGUCACUCAUUGAAUCUUUUGACUACCUACCGAGUUUGUCAAUUAAAGCAACCUAAUCCCUCAAUUGGCACCCCUAUUUCUUGGAUAUCACCAAAAGGAUAGUCAACCUCAUAUUCACCCUAAUGUCUAAGAUGGUGAAAAAAAGAAAAAUAAACCGAAUUAUUGUCUACUAUUGCCUUGGUUCCCACGUUCCUCUUUCAAGUAUGAUGAAGGUUCCUAAAGUUCACCCAAAUACCUAUUUCAAGGAUGAUUUAGGAUUUAAAGACCUUUGGGUUUUCACCUAUAAACCCAUUUUUAGUAUUUAGGGCUUUCACCCAUAAAUCCAAAUAAAUUUACUUAAGCAAUAGUAGAACCCAACACCAAGACAUUAGCAUAUACACAAAUGAAUCACAACCUAUACAUAAAUGUACCCUAUUCUAACAUACUCUCAAGAGGAGGAACUAGCAACCCUUAAAUAUAAUAAACAAAAAUAUACCAAUAAAUCCAUCAAUUUUAUUCAUGAAAAAUAUAGAUAAUGCAAAACAUAUUUUCAAAUCCAAUGAAUUCGCAAUGGGAUUUGCCAAUUCUUCAGUUUAGAAUUUCUCUAAUUAAUUCAUGCCUCAAAUUAGUAUAAAUUCAAUCUCCAAGCUCCAAGUGAUAAAUGCCAAUGUAAGGUUAGGAUAAUAUGUAAGAUACAAGAUAGGAUGACAAAGCUAAAACCCCCAAUUUACGUCCUAGUUCCACAUUUUUUAAAUAUUACAAAAAUUCCCUUCAAACUUUUCCUCUCUACCGCAAUCACCAUCCCUUGAUUGUGAUUGCAAUAUUCAUAUCACGAUCAUCAUUUGGUUGACUUAUUGACUAACUGCGAUCGUGACCCUCUAUUUGAGAUCGCAGUAACUGUGUCUACUCCUAGGCCUGUAACUUCAUCUUUUGUUCUUUUUACUUAUAUUUUUUUUCUUUCACCUUCUCCUUAGCUCAUUUUUAUCAAGUUUCCUUGCUCAUCUUGACAUUGCAACUUUUACCUACACAAAUGAGCAUUAAGGAAGAAAGUAACAACAAAUCAAUUAAAAAGAAAGAUAAUUUAGGGUUUAAAAAUGCUAGUAAGUUGUCAAAUUGAAGACUUAUCAUCAUACCAAACUUAAACUGCUAAUUGUCUUCAAGAAACAAAGAUCCAUUCAACAAGAUCGGGUAUUUACCUUAUAUCCACCCAAAAGAAAACUAUACUAAAGGAAUAAGCUAACAAAGCCUUUUCAAACAUGGCAUGGCAAGAAGUAAACAAAAAUUCUCUAAUAAGCACAUAUUAUGAAGCAAGGAGGCAAAUUUGUAUCAAAGGAAUCUUCCAAAUAAACAAAGUACCUUAAGAAGAAAUACAAAUCUUCAAAAAAAUUCUCAAUCAUUACAAUGCAAAUUACUUCACCCAUUUACCCAAACAAAAAGUAAGACUUCACCCUCUACACCAAAGUAUCAAUUUUGCUCACGAGCAAGAGUUAGCUCCAUACACUCAAAAGACAUUAAAAUUUCUAAAGAAGCUCAAAAAAUAAAAUAAUUCACCCUCACUCUCACAAGGAAAUUCAAGUACAAUGAGUAGAACCAUAGGCUUGCCCUUUAUGUUUUUUGCCACUAAUGUAAACUUGCAUAGUUUGGAAUCACCAACGUCUUGCGGGACAAGAUGAAGGUUUGAGGUGCUGGAAGAAUAUAUAUGGAUCAAGUAACUAAAAAAACCUCCUUCAAUACAAUUACUCAAUCCUUUCUACCCCUAAAAUUUUCC
rnacentral:lncRNA from 1 species